UGUUUCUUAAUAGAUAAGGGCUCGAUUUUCUAAAAAACAUAUGUAUUUUUAUAUUAAAAGUAAGAAAAGAGGUCCAAAUUUUUUUUAUAUGAAAGUAUUUUUAUAAAUACUUCUAAUAUUUGAAAAAAUAUAUCUAUCAGAUUUUUUUUUUAAAAUAAUAGUUUAGAAAUUAAAAUUCUUUUUACCCCAAGGUCCGUGAAACCAUUGAGCCGGAGACACCACCUUACUCGAUGUUAGUCCUCAUAUUUCCUAAUUAAUAUAAAUCUCUCCCCAUACAUGCCAAUCAGAACAAUCACCUACUACAAAACCGCUCUGCUCUGCGCAUUCAUAAAUACAAUCAGAAUUAUUCCCAACGAGAAUUGUAGUUGAAAAGAAGAAAAAUAUGUAAAAUCAAAGUUCAGUAUUAUCACCGAAGAAAAUGUUUUAUAUAAGAUUAAUAACUUCCCAGCACCAGAUGUUCGUGAUUUUUCAAUCCAGAUCGCUCACCGGCACCAAUUUGAUAAAACUCACGUAUAUUUCUAUCAAGAACAGAGGAUUACAAGGAAAGCUAUCUUGAAUCUCCUAAGAGAAACAAGCCUAAGCCACAAGGCUCCAAUUAACCAACUAGCUUUUCAAACUAAAUCUCUUGACUGUAACUGCUUUCCCUUCUCUUUAUUUUGCAGUUUAGCAGGUACAAGCUCCUUCCUUCUCACGUGACUGUCUCCAGUUUAUAUGAUGAUCAUAUCAGCAGAUUGGACCUCGUGAUAUUGAUAUUUAAAACACAGUUUUGAAGCAUCUACAAAAAUAGUGGUUCUUGGUGUUUCAAGAUAAAUCUCGUGACCUUUGAUAUUUUGUAAGAAAUUUUUAAUCUCGGUAAGGCUUGAUAAUAAGUGUUCAUUUACUAACACAUGAUAUAUUAGUAAAUGAGGGUGUAACACGUGUUUGGUGGUCUUUGUUUGAUGCUCUAGGAUUCAUCUCUAAGUCUUGCUUAAUUUGUUCAUUCUUAUUUUGAUAUAUGAGUGAGUGAGUGAGUGACUAGUGUCAGUGUAAACAGUAAAUGCAUCACGUGUUUGGUGGUCUUUGAGUAUACCAUAAUUGAAUCAUGUUGUGUUGUGAACUUUUGAUUUAAUUGAGUCCAUCAUAUGUUUGAAUUAGUAGCCUGUUCUUGUUUUUGCUCGUUAGGAUUUCAGAUGUUGCUCGUGGAACUGUGCUGUGUUGAUUUCAGGAAGGAUUUGUAAAAUUUUAGGAAAACAUUCCAAAGACUUUGGAAAGAUCAUGAUUUGAACAAAAAGUUUGGAUUUACUCAUUAUUUCCUUUCACAUAUUGCUCCUGAAACUGUGUGGUUUUGUUGAUUUCAAGAAGAAUUUAUAAAGUAUUAGGAAAGUAUUCCAGAAUAUCCUAUAUUAACAAAAUUUGUGAUUCCUACGGAGGUUCAACAGUCUACACCUACCUUUUUGUGUGAGAAAUACACUGAUACUAACGGUUCCAUCCAGAUGUUCUAAUGUUGAAUCUAAAGAAAAUCUGAAUGUCACAUGCAUUUUACCUUCUAUUACUCUCCAUGAUCCAGAAGACGAUGAUUCCACAGAAGACAAACUUGAUGAAAAUCUGGAUAAAAUGACAGUUUUAUCCAAGAAAUAAUAUUGAUUUAAAGUUGAAGACUGGAGAAAUAUGUUAGUAGACCCAUAUGAUGCUUAUGAAAAAAUAGGAGAUAGAUCUUUCUUGUUUGGAAAUGUGGAGAUGAGUCAAGCAUCUUCUUUACUUGAGGAGUCUGUAAUUACAAAGCUUAACAGACUCAUCAAGGUAGUGGAGAAAAAAUUCAAGAACAUAAAGGAUCAAAUGUCUUUGUUAGAAGAAGAGAACAAUGUAGCUUAAAGCUUGUCUGUUAGAGUUAAAGGGAAAAUAGAAUGUUGCUUCAGGUAAAAUGUUAUAUUAAGUUUUCACCGAAUAAUUAUUCCGCGUUUUCAAAACGCGGGUCAAAAUCUAGUUUUCUUUUAAAUCAAUACCUUUUAGCCUCACAACCAUAUAAUGUUUGAUUCAUCUUCCAAACAAAGUUCUCAUAUAGUGAUCAACCAAGCAAUUGGCAGAAGUAUUUGCCUUCUCUUGUCGUUGCUGGCACAGCCACUAGCGUAUGGUGUUUGUGUACGCCAAUAGCUCUUCGGCCACUGAUGAUAGUACAAAGAUUGGAACCUAAAUAAAGCCAUAAUAGAGCGAUUUUAGUCUAUUUUGAGUUAAGAAUAGUGUCAAAUAAGAACCAUUUUUGAAAAGAAAGAAAAGUAAUUGAAAACCACAAAGGUUCAAAA